AAGUAGUGUGACAUGCCGUUUUGGAAAUACUAUGAUGUAUGAUUAUUUAUUAUUUAAUUGUUUUGGGUAACGGGGUGUUACAGUUGA
rnacentral:pre_miRNA from 1 species